UACAGUUUCGUAUUUGCACCGGCUUAAGUGAGAGACAUAAUUAACAUCCAAUAACAGUCCCAAACUGGGGACUGUUCGACAUUCACCCCUAUUGAGUGUAUGCCAAACGGGUUUCUAAGUUUCAAAGUAUAGUACAUAUAUAAUGAAAAUGCUACUUAGUUUAUUGAAAAUUGUGGCAAACUACACAAAUGCUACUUAGUUUAUGAGAAUUUAUGUGGAAUCUCUACUUGAGUCG
rnacentral:lncRNA from 1 species